rnacentral:rRNA from 1 species
GCCUAAUACAUGCAAGUCGAGCGAACAGAAGGGAGCUUGCUCCCGGAUGUUAGCGGCGGACGGGUGAGUAACACGUGGGUAACCUGCCUGUAAGACUGGGAUAACUCCGGGAAACCGGAGCUAAUACCGGAUAGUUCCUUGAACCGCAUGGUUCAAGGAUGAAAGACGGUUUCGGCUGUCACUUACAGAUGGACCCGCGGCGCAUUAGCUAGUUGGUGGGGUAAUGGCUCACCAAGGCGACGAUGCGUAGCCGACCUGAGAGGGUGAUCGGCCACACUGGGACUGAGACACGGCCCAGACUCCUACGGGAGGCAGCAGUAGGGAAUCUUCCGCAAUGGACGAAAGUCUGACGGAGCAACGCCGCGUGAGUGAUGAAGGUUUUCGGAUCGUAAAGCUCUGUUGUUAGGGAAGAACAAGUGCGAGAGUAACUGCUCGCACCUUGACGGUACCUAACCAGAAAGCCACGGCUAACUACGUGCCAGCAGCCGCGGUAAUACGUAGGUGGCAAGCGUUGUCCGGAAUUAUUGGGCGUAAAGGGCUCGCAGGCGGUUUCUUAAGUCUGAUGUGAAAGCCCCCGGCUCAACCGGGGAGGGUCAUUGGAAACUGGGAAACUUGAGUGCAGAAGAGGAGAGUGGAAUUCCACGUGUAGCGGUGAAAUGCGUAGAGAUGUGGAGGAACACCAGUGGCGAAGGCGACUCUCUGGUCUGUAACUGACGCUGAGGAGCGAAAGCGUGGGGAGCGAACAGGAUUAGAUACCCUGGUAGUCCACGCCGUAAACGAUGAGUGCUAAGUGUUAGGGGGUUUCCGCCCCUUAGUGCUGCAGCUAACGCAUUAAGCACUCCGCCUGGGGAGUACGGUCGCAAGACUGAAACUC